GCCCCCCUCAAGAUGAGAUUUCCCAACUUCGGUUAUAAGAUCCCUCAAAGAUGAUGAGGUUAAUAGGUUCGAGGUGGAAGCAUGGUGACAUGUGGAGCUGACGAAUACUAAUCGAUCGAAGACUUAAUCAAA
rnacentral:rRNA from 1 species